CUUUUCUUUUACAUUCACCUUUACACAAAAUAAAUUCAAAACAAAUAAAUACAAAUUACAUUAAUUAAUUUAAAUUUUACAAAACAGUCCCUAAAAGUCCAGAAAUUGCAUUGAAGGACACUGUCGGAACUGCCUGAACUCGUGGCGGCGCGUGAACCCACGCGCCGCCGCAAACAUGCCGGAAACGGGCGGAUCUGCCCUAUUUCCUCCUCCUCCUCCCUUCUCUGCUGGUGGCAUCCUGCAAAACAAGAAAAAGGAAACGCAGGCAGUUCAUUUUAAUCCAUUUCUGUCCAGUUCUUGGAUUUUUCCUUUCUUCUCCAUUUUGGAUCUGCUUCUUUACAGAUCGGUUAUUUUCGUUUCCCCUUGUUCUCUGUUUUAGGCUGCCGGCCGAGUGACCAUAGGGCUGCUGGCGGCGUUCAUGGUGGCUCGCGGGGGGAAUUGCUGCGAUGGAAGAGGAAAUCGUGUGUCUGCCACCGGUUGAAGGAGAUGAUGCCAGCGUUGCCCCGGCGCUGAAUCUGUUCGGCCGUCGCUGCUGUGGAGGGAAACCGAAGGAGAAGCAGCCGUGGCUGAGGAGAUCGUGACCUGGAAGGCGCCGGAGCUGGAAGCUAUGGGAAAGAAGAGAAAAAUAAAUCAAACCCGCGGGGAAGAAGAGUUGUGGCUGGUUCUCCGUGGGGAAAGGAGAGUGGUGUUGUUGGUGGGUCUGUGUUGAUGACCGGGCUGUGGAGAAGGAAGGAAAAUGGAGAUGACGGUGGGGAAAUGGUCUGUCUUUGUUUCUGACAGAGGGGAAGUGAGCAGCGUCUUCUCUGGUUUUUGAAAGGUAGGGGAGGCCGUGACUUUUUUUCUUUUUUGCAGAGGGGAAGUCGGCUGGAAGGAGAAAGGGGAGAGUAUGGGUUUCAGCUGAUUUUGGCUUUUUAGCCGAGAGGAAGACUAAGGAGACGGGAAGAGGGCUGCCUUGGCUUCUCUGGUUUCGACUUUGAAGAUGAGAGAAAAUGUGGAAAUGGUGAUGGCUUGACUUGCUUUGUCAAGGCAAAAGGGGGAUUCGUCGUAGCCUUUUUUUUUAGGAGAAGUGAGAGCGGCUCUGUGUGCAGGCGGCUGUGCAAGGGCUGAGGAGAAAAAAAAUUAAAAGGGGAGCUGGCAGCUGUCAUCGGAGAAGAAGGAAAAAAUUUCCCAAAAAGGGGGGGGCCUCCCUGGCGGCUGUUUUCAGCAGGGAAGAAGAAAAGUUUAGUGUUUUAGGGUUCUCUCCUUUCCCCUAAAAUUACAAAAUGAACCCCCCCCACAAAAUGAGUUAAAAACUGCUAUUUAUAGGCAAAACAUUUUUUCGGGUUUCCAAAUCGGUCCCCAAUUUUUUUGUGUUCAAUUGACUUGGUAAAAAUUAAAUUUGAUCUUAAAAUUUUAAUCUUUUCAAUUCAGUCCAAAUUAAGCUCCCAAACUUAAUUUUUCACCAAUUAAGCCCCCAAAUUAAUUUGACCCAUUUAAAGUAUAAUCAAGUCCUUGCACUUAAUUAAAUCCUUCAAUUAGACCUAAAUUAAUUCUUAAACAUAAUUAAAAUUUAAUUUGGCCCAUGAUUAAAUCAAAUUGGCCCAUUAAAAAUUUAAUUAUGUCAUUGGACUUAAUUUUUAUGCAAAUUCAUCCAAUAAUCAUUUGAUUUGACCUUCGAAUAUGCAUUUAAUUUGACCUUCGAUUUUUGCCUAUUUUUGCAGUCUUUUUUUAUUGGAUUUCUCCGCAGUGCCAGCCUUUAUUUUAUUUUUUAUUUUUUUUAUUUUAAAAAAAGUGAAAUUUAGGGAAUAACCCAAAAUUGGGUUAUGACAGUUGCCCCCCUCUUUACAAUGCUUAUGAUAGAAAGUCUCGUAGGGGACUUUAGAUAGUAAGCGUUGUAAAGAAGAAAAAAUGAAGAUGUUUUUUUUUUUUUUUUUUUUAAAUUCAAAGAUUUUGAAAUGGUCGAAUUGUCAUGGGUGACCCACCCGGGUGAAAAACACGAAGAUGUUUUAAAGUGGUGAGAAAUACGAAGAUUUCUAAAAAUGGUUUUAUUGUUAUGGGCAACCGGCCCAGAUGAAAGGUUUUGAAAAAUACGAAGAUUUUUUCAAAUAGGUGAAAAAUGCAGAGAUUUUUCAAAGUGGUGAGAAAUGCAAAGAUUUCUCAAGAUGGUGAAAAAUUUUAGAGGUGGUGAGAAAUGCAAAGAUUUCUCAAAAUGAUGAAAAAUGCAAAGAUUUUUCAAAGUGGUUUUGUUGUAAUGGGCAAACGGCCCAAUUGAAAGGUUUUGAAAAAUACAAAGAUUUUUUCAAAGAGGCGAAAAAUGCAGAGAUUUUUCAAAGUGGUGAGAAAUACGAAGAUUUCUAAAAAUGGUUUUAUUGUUAUGGGCAACCGGCCCAGAUGAAAGGUUUUGAAAAAUACAAAGAUUUUUUCAAAUAGGUGAAAAAUGCAGAGAUUUUUCAAAGUGGUGAGAAAUGCAAAGAUUUCUCAAGAUGGUGAAAAAUUUUAGAGGUGGUGAGAAAUGCAAAGAUUUCUCAAAGUGGUGAAAAAUUCCAAGAUUUUUCAAAGUGGUGAGACAUACAAAGAUUUCUCAAAGUGGUGAAAAAUGCAGAGAUUUUUCAAAGGGGUGAAAAAUACAGAGAUUUUUCAAAGUGGUGAGAAAUGCAAAGAUUUCUCAAAGUGGUGAGAAAUGCAAAGAUUUCUCAAAGUGGUCUUGUUGUGAUGGGCAACCGGCCCAAGUGAAAAAGUUUGAGAGUGGGGAGAAAUGCAAGGAUUUCUCAAAAUUGGUGAAAAAUGUAAAGAUUUUUCAAGGUGAUGAAAAAUGCAGAGAUUUUUCAAAGUGGUUUUAUUGUUAUGGGCAACCGGCCCAAAUGGAAGAUGAAAAGAGUUUUGAAAGAAGUCUGAUUAUAAUGGGUGACCUGCCCGGGCAAAAAGAUAAAAUGUCUGAAAAGGACGACAUGAUAGGACUCGAUGGGGGAACGAGGGCUGAAGAGCGCACUCGAAAGGAGGUAGGGUUAGAAAAACACACUACCUAAGAGGUGAAUGCUCCAAGGCGCACUCUAAAGGAGGUAAAUAGGGCUAGAAAGCACACUACACAAGAGGUGAGGGCUCGAAGGAGCUCUCAAAAAGAGAGCAGGGUUGGAAAACACACUACCUAAGAGGUGAGGGCUCGAAGGAGCAUUCGAAAGGAGGUAAGGUUGGAAAACGCACUACCUAAAGUGGUGAGGGCUCAAAGGAGCAAUCAGAAGGAGGUAGGGUUAGAAAAAUACACUGCCUAAGAUGUGAGGGCUCGAAGGAGCAUUCAAAAGGAGGUAAGGUUGGAAAACGCACUACCUAAAAUAGUCGAAGGCUCAAAGGUGUACUAAAAAAGGAGGCAGGGUUGGAAAACACACUACCUAAAGGUGAUCGAGGGCUCAAAGGUGCACUCGAAAAGAGGUAAGGAGGUAAGGUUGGAAAACGCACUACCUAAGGUGGUUAAUGGCCCUAAGGCGCACUUAAAAGGAGAUAGGGUUGGAAAACACACUACCUAAAGUAGUUGAUGGCCCUAAAGCGCACUUAAAGAGAGGUAGGGUUAGAAAACAUGCACUACCUAAGAUGGGAGGGCUCGAAGGAGCUCUCAAAAGGAAGUAGGGUUAGAAAACACACUACCUAAAGGGGUUAGGGCUCGAAGGCACACUAAAAAAGAGGUAGGGUUAGAAAACACACUACCUAAAGUGGUCGAUGGCCCUAAGGCGCAUUUAAAAGGGAGAGGUAAGGUUAGAAAACACACUACCUAAAGGGGUUGUUAGCUUGAAGGCGCGCUAAAAAAGAGGCAGGGUUGGAAAACGCACUACCUAAGAUUAUUGGGGGCUCUAAAGCGCAUUUAAAAAGGAGAUAGGGUUAAAAACGCACUACCUAAGCGUUGAAGGCUCUAAGGCGCACUCAAAAGGGGAGGUAGGGUCAGAAAACACACUACCUAAGAUGGUUGGGGGCUCUAAAGCGCACUAAAAAAGGAGGUAUGGUUAGAAAACACAUUACCUAAGGGGUGAGGGCUAAAAGACGCCCUCAAAAGGAGGUAGGGUUGAAAAACACACUACCUAAAAGGUUAGGGCUCAAAGGCACACUAAAAAAGAGGUAGGGUUAGAAAACACACUACCUAAGGGGUGAGGGCUAAAAGACGCCCUCAGAAGGAGGUAGGGUUGGAAAACACACUACCUAAAAGGUUAGGGCUUCAGCAACUCGCUCAAAAAGAGGUGAUGGUGAGACACCGAUCUAUCAAGGAUGAAAGAAAUGCAUCAUGAUCAAUAUAUGCAUGUAUACUUACCUGAGAAGUAUAGGUCCCCUUUUCUUCAUCGAGUUCUCCUUUUCUCAAGAGUUUGAGUCUCUGAUAGUAAGCUUUGAUGGCUUUUGUCCCCUUGCUUACUCGAGAAAUAUCUUACAAUCUUGGCCUCUAGGAAAGUUGAUGUCAUCACUUCUUUGUUCUCCGCCCCUUUUAUCCCAAGGGUUGCCAAUUUUGCCCAAUAGUUUCUUCGAAAGGGAAUCAUGGAGCCAGCUCUACCAAAUGUUUUUGAUUGCCCCCUAGCUUGAUCAUGCCCCCAAGUAUUCAAUUCGGGUUUGGGGAUGAGGCUAUAUGAAGGAAGGUUUGGUUUUUGACAAGGAGCUGUUUUCAUGCAGAAUUUUUGGAAUUUCAAAGCUAUUCCAGACACAGAAAUCAUUUUGACAUCGAUUCAAAGCGAACUCAUUCUGAAGAAAUUCAAGUGAUUCCUAUGGAGAGGUUUUCAGAAGUGAUGAAAACUUUUUGUUUUGAUUUUGGUGAAAAAAUAUGAAGUGACAUUUGGUUGGUCACAAAAAGUUGAAAUUUCAAUGAAGUGACAUCUGGUUGGUCACAAAAGGUUUAAAUUUCAAUGAAGUGACAUCUGGUUGGUCACAAAAGGUUUAAAUUUCAAUGAAGUGACAUCUGAUUGGUCACAAAAGGUUUAAAUUUCAAUGAAGUGACAUCUGGUUGGUCACAAAAGGUUUGAAUUUCAAUGAAGUGACAUCUGGUUGGUCACAAAAGGUUUGAGUUUCAAUUUGAGGGUUAUUGAGAACCGUUUUCAAAGCAGUCAUUUUAUUUGCAUGAAUAAUGAUUUUAUUUCGCAUGAGAAAGCACUGCCUACCGAUCCAGAUUGCCUGCCUUUGAUCAGAAAGGGCUUCAUUAGGCACGUAAUGUAGGCUUGGGCUUUUGGCUAUGAAGAAAAUGAUAUAUAUAGGCUCAAAAGGUGUUUAAGGGACUUUAAGACUAAGGAUCACAAGUGCUUAUAUCCCAAACUCUUUUGUUCAUACAUUUCUGGACCUUGGAAUUGAUUUGUAAAAAUGUCCACGGUGCCCCCAGUGUUGGGCUUGGGCUCUUUCUCUUUGUUUUCUUCAUUUGAUUUUGAGCAUCAUUGCAUUGGCCUUUGUUUUUUGCUCAAAUUUUUGAUCCUUUGGAUUUUUUCAUGCCACCUAGCUUUGUAUGGGCACCUUUGAUGAUUGAGAUUUCUUUUAUGCCCCCUAUUGUUUGGGCACUUCAUCGUUGAAGACUUUUUCAUGCCCCCAAGAGUUAUUUGGGCACUUUCAAUCAUUAUGGAUUUUUAGCACUUGCCCCCCAGUGUAGGGUGUGAUCCUAGCCAAGGUUAUUUUUCAAGAAAAAUUUAUUAGGCUCAAAAGGGACUGCAAAUGAUAUAUUUCAGCCUUUGAAAGGAUUAUCAAAGAUGACCUUUCUCAUCUCAAAUGCAUGCAUUUAGGAUCGGUAAGCCUUGCUUUCAUGCGAUAUGCAAGUGAUUUCUCAUUAUUCAUGCAAUAAAACCCAGCUUUUGGAGUCACUUCAUGGUGUUUUUUUGGGUUUUCUAGGUGUAUGGUUACCUCUCUAAGGAAUCACCUGAAUUUCCAGAAUCGUUGUUUCGACAAACAUCAACAUGAUUUCUGUUUUGUACUAAACUUUGAAUUCCCAAAAAUCCUUAUGAAAACAUGGGUCCUGUUUUGUUUUGGGAAGAAAAGGGAAACACACCACAAGAUUUGGCGCGUGGUUUCAUGCUUAAAGUUACGCUCAAUGUGUUAUUUGCAUGAAACAACAAAAAAUGAAAGCAUGUGAAAACACAGAAAACACAUAUAUAACAAGAAAGGCUCAGGACAGGAAAGUCUUGUGGAAUUUUGAGCCAAAUUACCAACAAAAACUGGAUAGGUUGAAACAAAAAAAUCAAGUUUUGGAGGCAUGAUCAAACAGAGGUAGUUAUUGGCAGAGCAAGAACAGCUCUUCUGCAACGGUGAUGCAAUUCCCCUUCAGAAUUGUGUUGAGGCUUUUGAUCAUGUGGCCCCUAAUUUCUUCGGGUUGAGUUGGGGCUGAACAAAAAUACUGGCAUUGGAAGACCUUCACUAGAGCAUCUAUGUCUCGAGUAAGCUAAGUGAGGAGCCACACUGCUUUCAGAGACCUAACUCUUGAAAUGGAUGCUGCGGUGAGCACGCUCUUUGUCUCCAAUGUUUUUUCUCUCAAAAUCAGGUUGUAGACUCGGAGGGACCUACUUAUUCUGGUGCAUGCAUGACAAAAUGUAUGAACAUGAAGUCUAUAUGAUGAACUCGCCCUUCGAGGUACAACAUGGUCGUAACUCUUGUAUGAUGGAACAAGAAUUGAUUUUUGCCCAAACUCUACAAUGAAAAUUUUCCGAGUGACGACCAAUGUGUCACCCACAAAUCUUGAGUUCAAGAUGCUUCAAGAAGGGUUCGCCCCGAUGCAAAUAAAUGAUAGCACAUACAACCUAAGAACAAGUUCUAUUCAUUGUGUGAACAUGGGUAGGUUUUCUACCUGGUCUCAAAAGGGUCUAUGAAUUGCCCAGUGACGACCUCACGUGAAGGCAGUAUAGGGGUUUACAAGGAAUGGUUGGGGCACCAUGUGACCGCCAUUACCAAAAUAAACACUCAGCUCAUAGUUGGAUGUUUCACAAAUCUGAACCCCGACUGAAAGUCAUGAGGUAGACUGCUACUCCCCACCUAACUUAGAAGCUUGUGUGUGCUUUCAAAAAUAAAUACAAGUGAUGCGUGAAACAAUUCUAAAAAUGCAUGCAUAAAAUAAAGCAAGACAAAAAUAGCAAAAUUUAAACACAUCAAAUACACAAAGCUUAGUCCAAUAUUGUCAGAAACAGUACCUCCCCAGUGGAGUCGCCAUUCUGUUGCACGUCGAAAAAUCCGGCGCGCGGCAAUCGGCUGGCGAUUAUAUGUCUCGUUGUUUGUAUUGCUUGAAUUGGUUCGUUGGGAGUCGCCACCUAGUAUUUAAUUGAGGUUACUAGGAAACCCUGGUGGACUGGUCAUGGUCAGAGAUUUGCGGGUAAGGGACUGAUUGUGGUUAGGGAAGGUGUUAGCACCCCUAACGCACCCUACCUGAGGUAAGCUGCUUCGUGGACUUGAUAUGUUAAAAAAGUUUUAAAAUUUUUGUCUUUUCAUCGGAUUUUAGAAAUACAACUUCCGUACAAGUUUGUACUUCUACACCGUGAUCCAAUCAAAAUAUUAAAUCCUUCUUUAUUCUUUGUUGUCUCAUCAAAAAAACAAUUCAUUAAACAAAUGUAUACAUGCAUCUUUUAUUAUAUAUUUCUUUCUUUUUCUUUUUCUUUUCUUUUAAUUCAAUAACAUACAUAAAAAAAUACAAACACACACAUACAUCUCUUUUUUAUUAUUUUUCUUUUCUUUUCUUUUACAUUCACCUUUACACAAAAUAAAUUCAAAACAAAUAAAUACAAAUUACAUUAAUUAAUUUAAAUUUUACAAAACAGUCCCUAAAAGUCCAGAAAUUGCAUUGAAGGACACUGUCGGAACUGCCUGAACUCGUGGCGGCGCGUGAACCCACGCGCCGCCGCAAACAUGCCGGAAACGGGCGGAUCUGCCCUGUUUCCUCCUCCUCCUCCCUUCUCUGCUGGUGGCAUCCUGCAAAACAAGAAAAAGGAAACGCAGGCAGUUCAUUUUAAUCCAUUUCUGUCCAGUUCUUGGAUUUUUCCUUUCUUCUCCAUUUUGGAUCUGCUUCUUUACAGAUCGGUUUUUUCGUUUCCCCUUGUUCUCUGUUUUAGGCUGCCGGCCGAGUGACCAUAGGGCUGCUGGCGGCGUUCAUGGUGGCUCGCGGGGGGAAUUGCUGCGAUGGAAGAGGAAAUCGUGUGCCACCGGUUGAAGGAGAUGAUGCCAGCGUUGCCCCGGCGCUGAAUCUGUUCGGCCGUCGCUGCUGUGGAGGGAAACCGAAGGAGAAGCAGCCGUGGCUGAGGAGAUCGUGAC
rnacentral:lncRNA from 1 species